rnacentral:rRNA from 1 species
AAAGAGAAGCGAGACGGAGACGUUAAGCGAAACCCAAAAAAGUAAGUCUCAGUUCGGAUUGAAGGCUGAAAUUCGCCUUCAUGAAGCCGGAAUUGCUAGUAAUGGCAGGUCAGCAUACUGCCGUGAAUACGUUCCCGGGCCUUGUACACACCGCCCGUCACACCAUGAGAGUUGGGAAUACCCGAAGCCUGUGAGCUAACGUAAGAGGCAGCAGUCGAAGGUAGAAUCAAUGAUUGGGGUGAAGUCGUAACAAGGUAAC